rnacentral:lncRNA from 1 species
UGCUUAAAUCAUUGAGUGAAACUGUCAGUCCUGUCUAGGUGGGAAGAAAAUUGCUCAACCCUCCUUCUCUGAGCCUCUUGGCUAUUGAGACCCUGGACCCUUCACAGCUCCUGCUAGUUUGGCUUCAUGUGCUUAAUUUCGUCUUAUUGCAGGCCCAAGGUACCUAACCUGCUUUCCAUAGCUUCUCUUUUUUUCUUAGACCUCUUCGUCCCCAAGGACCAGGAUACAGUCACCACAGCUCUCGGUGGACUUGUAGCUUCCAAUAGAUCCAAGACUUUCCACAAAGUCAGAGUUGGACAUACUGCAAACCACCCUCAAGAACAAACAACUCACUUAAUAUGUCUCAACAUUCCACUGCUUAUAUCAUUGGGUUCCUCUUCUUGGGACCCUCUCCAAGUUCUCAAGGAAACGGGGGAGUGAAGGUGAAUGCAGAGGUUUCACUCUCCAAAGGUUAGUAGUUGAGGCUUCAUUUUUAUAAGGCAUCAUGAAAAGAAAGAUGGGGACAGAUGAAGAAGAAACGGCUCUACAAUCUUGAAUGCUCCCAUCCUGGGGCAGGCUGGGUGGCCCUUAACAAGCUGCCCGGGGGUUCAUUUGUACUUCCAGUGGCACUUCUUCUCUUGAAGCCAUUUCCCCAGGAGACUAGGUUCCCAGGCCAAUAUACCUAGAUGGAAACAAAUGCCCUGAUUGGUACCAAAAAAAGUCCAGUGCUGCGUUGUUGAAUUUUAUAUUUACAUUAAGAGUCGAUUUUUAAUCAAACUUAUGGGAGAACCUAACAAUUCCUUUUAGCACUAUUCUCUGGGAAAAACAAGCUUCAAAACAUGAUUUACAUCCAAGUUGCAAUAUGGAGAAAGUAGAUAAACUGAAGGAUAAGGGACAAUUCCUGGCCCUUAAUUUUCUGAUUCCUGGCCCUUUCUUGUGUUGUUCCAAGAGUGGUCUGCCAUGAUAUCUUGGACUUCCCUACUUUCUAACUACUACCACGGUAUUCCUCAUCAAUUUCCUGGGAAUCAUGAGGACUACUAAGACUCGUUCCUGUUUUGUUUAGUUACUAAAUUUGUCAAUGGGGUACAACCAUAUUUUAAACUAUUUCUGUAAGAAUACUAUUUCAAAUUUCUGAUGUAAUUUUGUAUUCGAUUUCUAGUUUCCAGAAUAUGUACUU